rnacentral:rRNA from 1 species
GACGAACGCUGGCGGCGUGCCUAACACAUGCAAGUGGAGCGACGAACCAGGCUUCGGCCUGGGGCAAAGCCGCGAACGGGUGAGUAACACGUGGGUAACCUGCCCUGAUGAUUGGGACAACCCGAGGAAACUCGGGCUAAUACCAAAUGUGCCCUUCGGCCACAAGGCCGCCGGGGAAAGGAAGCUUCGGCCUCCGCAUCUGGAUGGGCCCGCGGCCCAUUAGCUUGUUGGUGAGGUAACGGCUCACCAAGGCGACGAUGGGUAGCUGGUCUGAGAGGACGAUCAGCCACACUGGGACUGAGACACGGCCCAGACUCCUACGGGAGGCAGCAGUGGGGAAUCUUGCGCAAUGCGCGAAAGCGUGACGCAGCAACGCCGCGUGGGGGAAGAAGGCCUCGG